AUCUGCUGGAUGGAGAAAGAGAGAGAGAGAGAGAGAGAGAGAGAGAGAGUUUUAUUUCAUUUUCGUUCACAACUGGCAUUGAUUUUCAACACUUUAGUCCAAAUUCAGACGACCUGUAGGGAAGCAGUAGUAUGUGAAGAAAAAAAAACUUUUUUUUUUUUUUUUUUUUUUUUUUUUUUAACAUCCAUCUUUAUUUAAAACUAUGUUUCUGGGUCAGUGAUGUGACUUUUGUCUGGAUCUGCUAUGUAAUUAAAAUACACAAGUCUUGAAUAAACUUCUGUGAUGAGCAUGCAUUUAUUAUGUAAAUGGUUUUGUGGGGCUUCAAAGUCAAAUAUGUUGACAUUAGAAGCAUUUCUACCAUUUACAUAUAUUUAAAAAAUCUGCAAAAUGUAUAUUGUGGUGGGGGGAUGAGGGGUGGGGUGUAUAUGUGGAUAGCAAUUUAGUUGUUUUACAUUGUGUGAAAUGUGUUUAAAACUGUACUGAAUAAACGAUCUGGUUGUCCAAAUAAUUCAGUUGCAAGGAAAACGAGGUUCCUAGAGCUUUAAAAGAACUAGAUCUUAAAAUAUUUUUCCUUUUUAUAUUCAUAUUCAGAAUAAUUAUUUGUCAUUGCCUCUCUGCAUGUUUAAACAUACACAGAAAACAUUUUUCCAUUUUUCAAUUUGCCAUUGGAAAACGCCAUAAAAAUAUAAGACACAUGUUUACAAAACUAUGCCCGUGCCUCCAGUUAAGUCUGAGUUAUUGGUCUGAGCGCGCUGGUGAUCCGGCAGUGAAUGGGUGAGGUUUCGCAUUACAAUAGACAGUAAGGAAUUUCCAGAAACAUGCUCUCCAGCCAUCUUUUCCUCGGGACGAAGGUUUUAAUUUGGAGUUUUAGCAGUUUAGUUUCCUGUGGCUGUAAAUUAAAACUCGACUAAACUGGCGAGUAGCCUAAUUUAAUCAAGGACGGUUUUGCGCGUAAAGGCGCUCGAAGUUGGGUUUGCGGGAAGCGAAGUGAAAUCACUGUAAAACGCUGCUUGGCGAGACAUGGAGAAAGAGAAGCUCCCUCUGUAGACGCCUCCACGAGUCACAAACGUUGCAGAAGACGAAAACAUCUAUAUGAAUGAAAAAUAAAUUUUUACUUACCAGACAUAUUGGCCUGAAAAGGAGGAAAACUCUGGAAGUGCUACAGUGAAAUACCCCAACGUCAGUUCUUUGCUCUAUUAUAUGGGCAAGAACGAAUUAUUCACAAAAGUCUUAAAAAGUCUCAACAAAGUAACCUCAAAACACUCUCAGGACAUACAAUUAUACAGUAAUAUAGCUAGGGAUAUUUUAGUUUGAGUUUUUCUCCCCUCAUCCCUACUAUUUAAAACCCCAAGAACUCAAUGAUUUGACAAUGAUUUGAUUGCGCGAUACUUUCAAUUUGAAUAUUCAAAAGCUUCGUAAAAAGACUUAUUUCUGAGUGAUAUUCGCUAUUACAGUGCAUAUAAUAACAUCUCUUUUAAUAGAAUGUUGUGUUGUUUCACAUUUUGACAUCAACCAAAUAUAUAUUUCUAACAUUUUAUCAUCCUUUUGGAGUUGGUGGUUGGAGUCUCCCUUAGAAGCACUAUUUCAACUUUGCUGUGAGGCUGAAAGCACCAAUGAAGUUAUACAUGCCAUAGAACAUUAUUAAUAUCUUCUGUAAUAGAUAGUCUUGUCAAAAAAUAUAUAUAUUACGUCUUGUGGAUCACAUUUAUGCAAUAUUUUAAGAAUUAUUGGAGUGGUGGGCGUGGCAUAUGAUAGCAGCCAUGUUUGUCACCAGAACAAUUGGGACGUCUGUUAAAGUCAAGUUCCUGGGACAGUGGAGACAGUUACAAAAAGGCUGAAUAUGAAAUAAAUUAAAUUAGAUUUAAAUAUUUAAUUGAAAGCUUCAAUGGCUAUCGUUGAAAACCAAAAGCCAGUUAAAAUGAGAUUUAAACAACGAUCAGUGUGCAUGACAGUAUUUAUAUAUUUCUUUUCCCAGGGUAGUUUUGUUUUAAUGCAACCGUUUAAAUAAUUAAUUAAUUAUCUUUAUUUAAUCCUUAUCAAUAAGCAGGGUGUUAUUUUGAUCUCAAAUAAAAAUUUCACCUGACUUCCUUUUAUUUCUGAAAUCAUUGAAAUGCAAAAGCUCGUGUAGUGGCGUAUUUGCAUUUCUUGAGACCACUGAAAUCAUAAUGCUGUUGUUUAUUCACGAAUAUCGAGUAUUUUAAGACUGAACGCGAGAAUUAUUAGCCUAAAUGCAGGUGUUCUUUGACUUAGAAAUUAAGUCUGAGAUUGGCUCCAUGUGGCAUGUGGAAGGCUACAGACAAACAGCAGUAUAAUUAGAGAUUGAAGUAUUGAUACAACAUGUUUUUUUUUUUAUUAAUGCGUCUUCAGACACCUUGGUUAGUAUGAAUUCAAACUGUGUCAGAAUGGACGUUUUACUCCUUUGUGAAAUUGUUUUGUAAUAUUAAUCCACUGCAAAUAGACCUCGAGUUUCAAAAUAUAAUUUUCUUGACCGUCCUUUUUUUAUAUAUAUAUCAGUCCCAUUUCUGAAUAGAUCUUCCAUAAUUCUAAGUAAAAUCUCGAAGAAACGCUUCAGCCGGGUUGAGGAGGUAGUUGAGGUGGUUGAAUGACGCCCCCUGGUGACUAAACCAGAGAAUACAAGAAGGUGGCGUGUAACUACAUUUCAUUUUACAACGCUGGUCUGGCUCAUACACUGUACUUGAGUAUUAUUUUGGGGGAUUUGUACUUUACUCAAGUACAAUUUAAACUGACUACUUGUACUUUUACUUGGUUACAUUUAUGAUGAAAAUUUUGUACUUUUUACUCCUUACAAUUUUAUUUGAUCUUGAAAAGCAUAUUAUAUUUUUAUUUUAUUGUGUGCACAUUAAAUAUGGUAAACAGAAGCUCAAACGUGUGUGCCUGAAGUGAGAACUAAUGAUCAUUGUUUUCAUGCAUCAAACACACACAUUUCUACUUCAAUUAUGACUUUCAUCAGGUAAAUGUCUGGCUUCAAAAGUUGCAUAUUGAAGCAUAUUGAAGCAUAUUGAGGUAGAAAAGUUGUCCAUUAGAUAUUAGCUGAAUGCACAAAAUUCAGUGCAAAUAAAAUCAGUGAUGAGAAUUUAAAUACAAUUACUAUUUUUGAGGGAUUUUUUUUAUUUUUAUUAAGUGUUACAAAUCUCCAAAAAAUAUUUUAAUAAACAUUACAUGCUAAAUAAAUUGUAAUUCAUGUUUAGUGAUGUUCUUGCCAGAUGGUGGAUAAGUUGUAUUUACAAUACAUGUAUGUCAUUAUAUGAAUCAUUAAGUAGGAAUUAGGACUGUCAGUGAAUAUUUUUUUUAAUCUAAACAAUUUCAUUUUUUUUCUUAUUAAUUAAUCUAAUUAGUCACAAAUAAUUAUUUAUCAAGACAGUGACAUUGAAUAGACAAUACAAAUAAAGUGGCCUAAAACGUUAA